GAGUUUGAUCGUGGCUCAGGACGAACGCUGGCGGCGUGCCUAACACAUGCAAGUCGAGCGGAAAGGCCUCCUUCGGGAGGUACUCGAGCGGCGAACGGGUGAGUAACACGUGGGCAACCAACCCCUCACAUCGGGAUACCCCGGGGAAACUCGGAUCAAUACCGGAUAAUGCGCGACGCUGUUGGGCGUCGCACCAAAGGUAGCUUCGGCCUCUGGUGAGGGACGGGCCCGCGGCCCAUUAGCUUGUUGGUGGGGUAAUGGCCUACCAAGGCAACGAUGGGUAGCUGGUCUGAGAGGAUGAUCAGCCACACUGGGACUGAGAUACGGCCCAGACUCCUACGGGAGGCAGCAGUGGGGAAUAUUGCGCAAUGGGCGGAAGCCUGACGCAGCAACGCCGCGUGCGGGAGGAAGG
rnacentral:rRNA from 1 species